GACACCGCAUGGUGUUGAUUUGAAAGACGCUUUCGGGUGUUACUGAUGGAUGGACCCGCGGUGCAUUAGCUAGUUGGUGAGGUAACGGCUCACCAAGGCGAUGAUGCAUAGCCAACCUGAGAGGGUGAUCGGCCACACUGGGACUGAGACACGGCCCAGACUCCUACGGGAGGCAGCAGUAGGGAAUCUUCGGCAAUGGACGAAAGUCUGACCGAGCAACGCCGCGUGAGUGAAGAAGGUUUUCGGAUCGUAAAACUCUGUUGUUAGAGAAGAACAAGUAGGAGAGUAACUGCUCUUACCUUGACGGUAUCUAACCAGAAAGCCACGGCUAACUACGUGCCAGCAGCCGCGGUAAUACGUAGGUGGCAAGCGUUGUCCGGAUUUAUUGGGCGUAAAGCGAGCGCAGGCGGUUUCUUAAKUCUGAUGUGAAAGCCCCCGGCUC
rnacentral:rRNA from 1 species